rnacentral:rRNA from 1 species
GACGAACGCUGGCGGCGUGCUUAACACAUGCAAGUCGAACGGAAAGGCCCUGCUUUUGUGGGGUGCUCGAGUGGCGAACGGGUGAGUAACACGUGAGUAACCUGCCCUUGACUUUGGGAUAACUUCAGGAAACUGGGGCUAAUACCGGAUAGGAGCUCCUGCUGCAUGGUGGGGGUUGGAAAGUUUCGGCGGUUGGGGAUGGAUUCGCGGCUUAUCAGCUUGUUGGUGGGGUAGUGGCUUACCAAGGCUUUGACGGGUAGCCGGCCUGAGAGGGUGACCGGCGACAUUGGGACUGAGAUACGGCCCAGACUCCUACGGGAGGCAGCAGUGGGGAAUAUUGCACAAUGGGCGGAAGCCUGAUGCAGCAACGCCGCGUGCGGGAUGACGGCCUUCGGGUUGUAAACCGCUUUCGCCUGUGACGAAGCGUGAGUGACGGUAAUGGGUAAAGAAGCACCGGCUAACUACGUG